CGAUGCACACUGCAGGUGGCUGAGGGAAAAGGAGAGGUUGUAGUGUGGAAAUAAUAGAAACUGUGGCUUUUGCAUGAAGAGUUUGCUGCGAGGAAGGUAACGGCUUGUGCAGCAAGUUGUAUUUGUGCGCCUUGGGAAGAUUACAAAGAGGUGCUUUGUGAGGGGAUGCAGCUGCUGAAAUUCGACUAGAUCCAGCUGAAGAGAGAAGGGAGCAGGUCUGUUUGUUUUGAAGAGGAAGAGGCCUCUGCGGAUAAUUCAGCUCCUGGUAAAAAACCUCCUAAUCAUCCAGAUCUGGAGUUACCAGAGAGAAAAAGGAUGCGGAGACCUCUGCAGAUAAUUCGGCUCCAAUCCUUUCUGGAUGUCUGGAUCAGAAAUAAGAUGCCUCGGGGAGCGAAUAAGUGCCAGGCAGUACCAGUCCACUGAUGGCUGCUCUCGCCAAGGCCUGACAAACAGGGAUGCCGGCUGGCAGGACGCCCUCCCCGCCCCUCCUCGCGGCACUCGGGUCACAGGCAGCUGAGAGAGAGAGCGGCCAACAGAUCAACAGUUGCUGUGACUUUGGUUGAGCGACUGGCCAGGCUGCUGCACGCCACCCAGCCCAAGUUCGGGGCACCCGACCCUGAGUAAACUGACAAAUGCCUGGCCUUUGGGUGCGCCUGCAGAUUGACGUGACCCUGAGGGCGUUAUGACCUCACUGCAUUGGGCACACACACUUAUAGCCAUGUUCCCGCUCACAAUGUUUAUUCAAGCACCUGACAGAGUACAUUGCGCUUACGCUCACCCACACUUGUCGGGCUGUUUGACUUAUUGUCAUGGAGAUGGAACAGCUCUAAUGAUGCUUGCACCCAGGAAAGAGGGCUAUAAUUUGCUCCUAAUUAACGUGUUGAAACGAUGUGAUUUGAUGCAUUCUCCACAGCUGAAUCACACAGUUGAUUUACAGUGCACGACACUGGAAAACAAAAUGAUUUAAUUUGAUCACUGCCUUGUUAGUGUUAGCAAAGAAAAAGGCACAUUUGCUUCUCUUAACUGCCUCCACAGUUUGUAUUCAGUGAGCUUUUUAUGUGCUGGUGCUGCUUGUUAGCAGAGACACACACAAGCAUAUGGCACACACGUACACAUUAUAGCCUUGCAAUGCACAGUACACUCAUCGGGCAUAUUUAACUCAUCUUGACAAGGCUGUUAAUUUCUCUGAAACCAGGGCCGGAUUCCAACCACUCUGUCCAUCCACGUCCCCUCUUCCCUCCAAAAUGCCCAGCUGUUGCCGCGGUAGACAGCUGCUUCACGGGUAGAACGAAUCUCAGCUGUCGAGGGGAGUUGUGCAAGGGGGUUGGUGGAUUUUGGGGUUUGUGUUCCUUCAAACCAAUGACGCUCCACUCCCUGCUCUGCGCUGAGUUGGGUGGAGUGUGGAAAAAUGCUGACAGAUAGCAGAUUUAGAGACAGAAACCAGAGGCUACAGCUGUCUGUGUGUUUACAACCAGAGCUGCUCAGAAACUCCGGGGUCAAACAAGUGACGUCCCCGAAAAGUCUAUGUAGUGUAAUUUCGUCUUGCGCGCUUCGCUGUGCAAGCUGCAAUGUUUGGCAGUUGGGAAAUAAAAGAGGACUAGCAUAUGCUUGGCGCUUUGAUGUUAGAUUAAGUUUUAUUUUUACAUCAAAAGUUUACCACAAUGAACAUUUACCACAAAAGGAUCUGUCGCCAAAUCCAGUGAGAGGUGAACAAACUGUCAAAUUUUAUUCGCUGCUCAGAAACUGCUUUAAAUAUGACUCACAAGCUGUUUAUUGCUCUGGUGUUUUUUUUCCUGAUUUAGCUUUUAAUCAGCUGAACUUGCCUGGUGUUAUUCAGGCUACACACUGUAAAGGUCAAAGGUAAUACAAGCUCACUUCAGUCUCCCACCGUGGGGAGCAAACAAGGUCUCUGGGCUGUGAUCUUUGAGUGUAUUCUAAUGAGCCUGGACAGCCUGGCACCUGAUCAGAAAGGCAGUUAUAUCAUACACAAAUUUCACAUUGCAUAACAAACUAGAUUACAGAGGAGGGGGAAACAACAGCAUCUCAUUACUGACCACAGAGGGAUCGGGGACUGACCAGAAUAUGCUGCUGUUCUUUGUUGCAAAUGGAGACAAUAUGUGGCCCCCGCUACGGAGUGACAUCCUCCAUGUCACAGAGAGACGUUUGAAUUGUGUUGUGAAUUAUAACGGGUGUGGGUUAGAGUCACAGAGAGGCCAGUGACCGUCUUGUUCUGCGCUGAUCACAACCAGCUUGUUGAUGGCAGCUGGAGGAAGCUGAACUGCCCCCCACCCCCCAAACUAACGCUAAUAUUACAGUGUAGUUGUCCACUUUCGAUGCGUACAGUGACAUAAGCAGGCGAGCAACGGCUUUUGAUCAUGCGUAAAACUGCUGCACACACAGAGGUGGAACCAAGUCAUUGAUUUGCAAGUGUCUGUACUCAAGUCCAAGUCCCAAGUCCUCAACCUACUGUUCGUUGUGCAACUUUAAAUCUUGAGCGACGUCUGUCAUUUUCGACCUGCGCAUUUUUUGUUGACCACAGCAAAGAUUUUAUAUGUGAAUGAAAUUAUCUUUGGUGUAUUUUUUUUCCAACUGCUGCUCAAUAACAUUUACAGUUCAUUCUUGAUGGUUCUCUCCCGCAACUUGAGAUGCUGUCAGAUAGGUUCCAACAAAGUGGAUCUGGGGAAUUAAGUGCCGACUGGGAGUAAAUGGCAUUAACAUUUGAAAUGACAUACCUUUUAAUCUUUGGGUUUGAGAGUCUCAGUCAAAAGCCUCAAGUCCAAGUGAAAUCACGAGUCACUGGUGUUUAAGUCCAAGUGGAGUUGCAGGACUUUUGAUCCUGUGAAGUCUAAAGUCAUCAAAUUUGUGACUCAAGUCUGCCUUUUAGGCGGACUGCAGUUGGACAAAAUGUUAUGUUGUAUGAAGGCAGCAAGCUCUGGAAUAGCCUACCACUCUCAGUCAGAGAAUCAUCCAGCUUCAUAACAUUCAAGAGGCUUCUGAAGGUGUGGAUUAGGACCAACCAGAUCUGUGACCAUGUGUAAUCACCUCAAUGAACUUGAUGUAACAGAGCAGUGUACAACAGGUUUGUUAGUAAUAUGUAGCAGGACAGUGUGCAAUCUUCAUUUAGUACUGGUCAAUUUUCUGUUAUGCACUGGCACUUUAUAAGAGCAUUGUGCAGUUUAGAUUUGUAUUAUUUAAAUCUGUGCAAUCCAUAUGUUAUCUAUGCAACAGCACUUUAUUUACAUGCACCAGCACUUUAUGGUAAGCACUUUCCUUUUUUGCACACUAGCUCGACUGGCCUCUCUACUCUGUUCUGUGUACUUGUAUGUAUAUGUCUUGAAUGAUCCGUGUACUUGUAUUGUGUAUGUUCUGUUUCUUUUCUUUUUUUCUAUUUUAUCUGAUGUAAUAUCAACCUGCCAAGGGACUACAGAUGGAAACUAGCCUACGGCUAUAAUCUGGCAUAUUUACGUGUAUAUGUUCAUUAAUAUGCACUGUCCCUUUUUAAAUACAUAAAUUGAAAAUAUAUCUGCUUGACUGCAGAAAAAUGAUCACGGGAGGAAUGUAAAGCCACCAACUGUCCAACAAUGGAGGGAGAGAUUGAGGACACCAGUACUACUGUAGUUGCUGAGACUGACUAAGGACACAACUUCUCCAUAACCCCAGUGGAGAGGAGGAGUUUGAUCAAUACUGUCUACAUGCAACUGAAUACAUGAAUACAGAUGUGUCUCUGAAUGUGGAGAAGUACAUGUAUAGUGGUGAUACAAUAACAACUGACUGACGUGUUUGUAUUUUUAUAACCUCCCUAUGUCUACCCAACUGACAUAAAAGUGUCUGGUUAAAAAUAUGGGUGAUUGCAUAUAGGAAUGAGGUUGUCUGGAUAUCUGUGUCUGUGUUGCCUCUGUAAAUAUAAUAUGAAGAAGACAGGUUGAUGUAAAGCUUACAUUUGUUAUGUGAUACAGCAUUUUAGUUUUAUUUAUU